rnacentral:rRNA from 1 species
UACGUAGGGCGCAAGCGUUGUCCGGAAUUAUUGGGCGUAAAGAGCUCGUAGGCGGUUUGUCGCGUCUGCUGUGAAAACCUAAGGCUCAACCUUGGGCUUGCAGUGGGUACGGGCAGACUAGAGUGCGGUAGGGGAGACUGGAAUUCCUGGUGUAGCGGUGAAAUGCGCAGAUAUCAGGAGGGACACCGGUGGCGAAGGCGGGUCUCUGGGCCGUAACUGACGCUGAGGAGCGGAAAGCGUGGGGAGCGAACAGG